UGGCGGCGUGCUUAACACAUGCAAGUCGAACGAAGCAUCCCUCCCGAAGAAGCGGAAGUGCUUGCACCGAAGUGGAUUCAUUGGGAUGACUAGUGGCGGACGGGUGAGUAACGCGUGGGCAACCUGCCCCAUAGAGGGGGACAACAGUUAGAAAUGACUGCUAAUACCGCAUAGGAAGAAACUGACGCAUGUCAGUUUCUUGAAAGCUUUUGCGCUAUGGGAUGGGCCCGCGUUUGAUUAGCUAGUUGGUGAGGUAACGGCCCACCAAGGCGACGAUCAAUAGCCGGCUUGAGAGAGUGAACGGCCACAUUGGGACUGAGACACGGCCCAAACUCCUACGGGAGGCAGCAGUGGGGAAUAUUGCACAAUGGGGGAAACCCUGAUGCAGCCGACGCCGCGUGAGUGAAUGAAGUAUUUCGGUAUGUAAAGCUCUAUCAGCAGGAAAGAUAAUGACGGUACCUGACUAAGAAGCCCCGGCUAACUACGUGCCAGCCGCGGC
rnacentral:rRNA from 1 species